GUUGGCAGGGACACCAAGGGAGUGGCUGAGUAGCUAGGCUCUCAGACAGAAGAAAGGUGCCAUCCUUUUGGCGGAGUAAAGCCCCGAGGGAAGGGUAGGGGGUUUAAAUAGGCAGCAGAUCUUAGCGCAAUUAUGAUGGCGGACAUCUUUAGUCCAAUCGGUGCUUGCCACGUGUCCCGCGUGUCCCACUCGCCGCUAUCGAGGAUUAACUGUUCGCAAAUUUCCAUGGUGCGACGCUUGGGAUCACAUCUCGGUGGGAGUUUCGAAAAGACUCUUCGGGUCGCCAUAAUCGAAAAAAGGGCUCUGGCAUGCGCGCAUUAAAUGCCGACAUAUCC
rnacentral:lncRNA from 1 species